rnacentral:rRNA from 1 species
AUCGUGCAAAGGUAGCAUAAUAAUUAGUUUUUUAAUUGAGAACUGGUAUGAAAGGUUGAACGAGAAAAAGACUGUCUCAAUUUAAAUUUAAUUAGAAUUUUAUUUUUAAGUAAAAAAGCUUAAAUAGUUUUAAAAGACGAGAAGACCCUAUAGAGUUUUAUAUUUAUUAUUAUUAUUAUUUAGUUUAAGAAUUUAAUUUUAGAAUUAUUUAAUAAGUAUUUAGUUGGGGUGACUAUAAAAUUAAAUUAACUUUUUUUAUUUAUUUUACAUUGAUAUAUGAUUAAUUGAUCCAUAUUUAUAUGAUUAAAAGAUUAAAUUACCUUAGGGAUAACAGCGUAAUUUUUUUUGAGAGUUCUUAUCGAAAAAAAAGUUU